rnacentral:rRNA from 1 species
AGUUUGAUCCUGGCUCAGAUUGAACGCUGGCGGCGUGCCUAACACAUGCAAGUCGAGCGGUAACAGGUGUAGCAAUACAUGCUGACGAGCGGCGAACGGGUGAGUAAUGCUUUGGAAUCUUCCCAGUAGUGGGGAAUAACCAGUCGAAAGAUUGGCUAAUACCGCAUACGUCUGUAAAGGGAAAGCGGGGGCUCGUAAGACCUCGCGCUAUUGGAUGAGCCAAAGUCGGAUUAGCUAGUUGGUGGGGUAAUGGCCUACCAAGGCGACAAUCCGUAGCUGGUCUGAGAGGACGACCAGCCACACCGGAACUGAGACACGGUCCGGACUCCUACGGGAGGCAGCAGUGGGGAAUAUUGGACAAUGGGGGAAACCCUGAUCCAGCGACGCCGCGUGUGUGAAGAAGGCCUGCGGGUUGUAAAGCACUUUUAGUGGGGAUGAAAAGCUCAGACCUAACACGUCUGGGAAUUGACCUAACCCAAAGAAAAAGCACCGGCUAACUCUGUGCCAGCAGCCGCGGUAAUACAGAGGGUGCAAGCGUUAAUCGGAAUUACUGGGCGUAAAGCGUGCGUAGUCGGUUAUUUAAGUCGGAUGUGAAAUCCCCGGGCUCAACCUGGGAAUUGCAUUCGAUACUGGAUAGCUAGAGUUCGGCAGAGGGAAGUGGAAUUUCCGGUGUAGCGGUGAAAUGCGUAGAUAUCGGAAGGAACAUCAGUGGCGAAAGCGACUUCCUGGACCAGAACUGACGAUCAGGCACGAAAGCGUGGGGAGCAAACAGGAUUAGAUACCCUGGUAG